GACGAACGCUGGCGGCGUGCUUAACACAUGCAAGUCGUACGGUAAGGCCCUUUCGGGGGUACACGAGUGGCGAACGGGUGAGUAACACGUGAGUAACCUGCCCACAACUUUGGGAUAACGCUAGGAAACUGGUGCUAAUACUGGAUAUGUGCUCCUGCUGCAUGGUGGGGGUUGGAAAGCUCCGGCGGUUGUGGAUGGACUCGCGGCCUAUCAGCUUGUUGGUGGGGUAGUGGCCUACCAAGGCGGCGACGGGUAGCCGGCCUGAGAGGGUGACCGGCCACAUUGGGACUGAGAUACGGCCCAGACUGCUACGGGAGGCAGCAGUGGGGAAUAUUGAACAAUGGGCGCAAGCCUGAUGCAGCAACGCCGCGUGCGGGAUGACGGCCUUCGGGUUGUAAACCGCUUUCAGCAGGGACGAAGCUUUUUGUGACGGUACCUGCAGAAGAAGCACCGGCUAACUACGUG
rnacentral:rRNA from 1 species